rnacentral:rRNA from 1 species
UACGUAGGGUGCGAGCGUUGCCCGGAAUUACUGGGCGUAAAGCGUGCGCAGGCGGUUUUGUAAGCCAGAUGUGAAAUCCCCGGGCUCAACCUGGGAAUGGCAUUUGGGACUGCAAGGCUGGAGUUUGGCAGAGGAGACUGGAAUUCCUGGUGUAGCAGUGAAAUGCGUAGAUAUCAGGAGGAACACCGAUGGCGAAGGCAGGUCUCUGGGCUGAAACUGACGCUCAAGCACGAAAGCGUGGGGAGCAAACAGG